UACAGAGGUGGCAAGCGUUGUUCGGAAUUACUGGGCGUAAAGGGCGCGUAGGCGGUCUUUUAAGUUCCGUGUGAAAUCCCUCGGCUCAACUGGGGACUGCACGGGAAACUGGAAGGCUUGAGUUCGGGAGAGGAAGCGGAAUUCCGGGUGUAGCGGUGAAAUGCGUAGGAUAUCGGGAGGAACACCAGUGGCGAAAGCGGCUACCUGGCCCAUUCUUGACGCUGAGGCGCGAAAGCUAGGGAGCAACGGG
rnacentral:rRNA from 1 species